CUUCCCCAGAAGAACUCAUUGUUUUAAACACUUCACUCUUGAUUUCGGAGCCGGAUUUAUUAGUUUAUUUGCUGGGGUCACUGGACUGUUACAUGCAAGCCAGUAUUUUUGGUAUCCAUGCAAAUUAUUGUACAAAGCAGAGGGACUAUUUCAAAUCCCAAUGAUAGUAUUUUUAGUUAUUUUAAGUGUAUGUGGUUCCCUACUAUGCAUCACCGCGCUGGUAUUUAUCUGCGGUAUAGCGAUGAAAAUACCAAAAGUUAUACCGGUGUUUGUGGUAGCAUUACUUAUGCUACCUUUUUCACUACUUCUAUUUCAUGUGAUGGCGUUAGUUCGAGUUUUGGUCGACAAGAUUUGGUGUCCUAUAGCAUUAAUGGGAAUAAAGGUCAUACCAGAGUUCUAUUAUGGCGUAGAGAUUGUCCUCAGUAUAGGCAUUGGAAUUGUUUUUACCGAUUUUGCCAUGGUAAUCAAUUCCUUUAAUGUUGAAGAGGACGAGGUUGAAUAAAUAAAUACAUACUCCAUUUUGUGAAGAACUACAAAUUUUCGCGCACAGCCGAUGACAACUGUCAGCCACACACAGGUCUCGCCCAUAUCAUAUUAAACAUUAAAAAAUUACAGAAUGACUUGGCGCUGCUCAUUUUUGCUAUGCACCGCUCUGGAUGUGUCUGCGUAACAGCGGACUGCCCUCUGCCUUUGAUGCCCAGGUGAGUUCGUGCGAGGUGAUCGAGAAAAUUAUGACCAUGGACACGACAAACG